GUCGUUGUAGUAUAGUGGUGAGUAUCCCCGCCUGUUAUGCAGGAGACCCGGGUUCGAUCCCCAGCAACGGCG
rnacentral:tRNA from 1 species